rnacentral:rRNA from 1 species
GAUGAACGCUGGCGGCGUGCCUAGUACAUGCAAGUCGAGCGAACAGACGAGGAGCUUGCUCCUUCGACGUUAGCGGCGGACGGGUGAGUAACACGUAGGUAACCUACCUAUAAGACUGGGAUAACUUCGGGAAACCGGAGCUAAUACCGGAUAAUAUUUCGAACCGCAUGGUUCGAUAGUGAAAGAUGGCUUUGCUAUCACUUAUAGAUGGACCUGCGCCGUAUUAGCUAGUUGGUAAGGUAACGGCUUACCAAGGCAACGAUACGUAGCCGACCUGAGAGGGUGAUCGGCCACACUGGAACUGAGACACGGUCCAGACUCCUACGGGAGGCAGCAGUAGGGAAUCUUCCGCAAAGGGCGAAAGCCUGACGGAGCAACGCCGCGUGAGUGAUGAAGGUCUUCGGAUCGUAAAACUCUGUUAUUAGGGAAGAACAAACGUGUAAGUAACUGUGCACGUCUUGACGGUACCUAAUCAGAAAGCCACGGCUAACUACGUG